rnacentral:rRNA from 1 species
AUUGAACGCUGGCGGUAUGCUUUACACAUGCAAGUCGAACGGUACAGGUCUUCGGAUGCUGACGAGUGGCGAACGGGUGAGUAAUGUAUCGGAACGUGCCUAGUAAUGGGGGAUAACCACUCGAAAGAGUGACUAAUACCGCAUAAUAUCUCAGGAUGAAAGCGGGGGAUCGCAAGACCUCGCGUUAUUAGAGCGGCCGAUAUCAGAUUAGGUAGUUGGUGGGAUAAAAGCCUACCAAGCCAACGAUCUGUAGCUGGUCUGAGAGGACGACCAGCCACACUGGGACUGAGACACGGCCCAGACUCCUACGGGAGGCAGCAGUGGGGAAUUUUGGACAAUGGGCGAAAGCCUGAUCCAGCAAUACCGCGUGCAGGACGAAGGCCUUCGGGUUGUAAACUGCUUUUGUACGGAACGAAACGGUUCAGAUUAAUACUCUGAACUAAUGACGGUACCGUAAGAAUAAGCACCGGCUAACUACGUG